UACGUGGGGUGCGAGCGUUGUUCGGAAUUACUGGGCGUAAAGCGUGUGUAGGCUGCCCGCUAAGCCCGAUGUGAAAUCUCCGAGCUCAACUCGGAAACUGCAUCGGGUACUGGCAGGCUAGAGUUCGGGAGAGGGCAGCGGAAUUCCUGGUGUAGAGGUGAAAUUCGUAGAUAUCAGGAGGAACACCGGUGGCGAAGGCGGCUGCCUGGACCGAUACUGACGCUGAGACACGAAAGCGUGGGGAGCAAACAGG
rnacentral:rRNA from 1 species